rnacentral:rRNA from 1 species
AGAGUUUGAUCAUGGCUCAGGAUGAACGCUGGCGGCGUGCCUAACACAUGCAAGUCGAACGGAGUUACUCGAAGCUUGCUUUGAGUAACUUAGUGGCGGACGGGUGAGUAACGCGUGAGCAACCUACCCUUGAGUGGGGGACAACAUUGGGAAACCGAUGCUAAUACCGCAUAAAAUAUAGAGGGGGCAUCCUCUUUAUAUCAAAGGAGCAAUUCGCUUAAGGAUGGACUCGCGUCUGAUUAGAUAGUUGGUGAGGUAACGGCUCACCAAGUCGACGAUCAGUAGCCGGACUGAGAGGUUGAACGGCCACAUUGGGACUGAGACACGGCCCAGACUCCUACGGGAGGCAGCAGUGGGGAAUAUUGGGCAAUGGGGGCAACCCUGACCCAGCAACGCCGCGUGAAGGAAGAAGGCCUUCGGGUUGUAAACUUCUUUGACAGGGGAAGAAUACAUUGACGGUACCCUGAGAACAAGCUCCGGCUAACUACGUGCCAGCAGCCGCGGUAAUACGUAGGGAGCAAGCGUUAUCCGGAAUUACUGGGUGUAAAGGGCGCGCAGGCGGGCGUACAAGUCAGGUGUGAAAUGCAGGGGCUCAACCCUUGAGGUGCACUUGAAACUGUAUGUCUUGAGUGAUGGAGAGGC